rnacentral:lncRNA from 1 species
UAAUAAUAAAAGUGAUUAAACGGGUGAGUUAUGGAUCAAUUCUGCAGCUUGACCCACCUAAAAGCUUUAUACACACAAACGGAUGGUUUCAUUUUACUCCUAUAUCGCCUUUUGUCAACGGCGUGUAAUUUACACGUCACAUGUCAUCAGCGCGUGGCGGUUGGAUAUGAAUCUCAAAAGAAAGUAAGAAACUUACCUUCUUCAUCAUCCACUGGAAUUUUAUUUUAACUUAUAUAUUUACCUUUUAUUUCUAAAUAAAAUAAAGACUUCAAUC